UCUUCUUCGAUUCUUCUUCGUUAUCUCUCUGCCGAUUCUGAGAGACAUUUCUAAAACCGUGAAAUCAAAUAGAAAGUUAGGGAGAUCAAUUAUCUAGUUUGAUAGAUGAAACGAUGAUUUCUCUGUGAAUCUUUGAAGAAGAAGAUGGUUUUGUUGAUGAAUCUAAAAUAGGUAAUUGAUAUUACAAAUUGAUUGACGUCUCUGUAUGAAUUCGUUCUGUUUGGAUUAAUUAUAGAGUGGGUUUGUUGUUAAUCGAGUAUAGAGAUGUUGCAUGAAAUUUAAUUUUGAUUUCUGCUAUUUCCCUAAAUCUACCAGAAGUUAGGGUUCUUGCGAAUUAGGUUAUUUAAGUUGGAUUCUGAAGAUGAAUAAGAUGAAUUGGAUAGAGGGUAAGAUAUUGGUUCAGGGUUUUGCAAAGAAGAAUCAGAAGAUGAUUGAGUUGUAGUUCAAGGAUAAAUGGUAGUUGGAUAUUGAUGUUGUUUAUUUGAAUCGAGUUGAACAUGGGUAGUUGCAGUAGCAGUUGGGAGUAUGACAUAGGGUUUGUAGUUAGAUGUGAAGAGUUACGAGUAGAGGUGGUGAACUAGAAGACACAGUAGAUUGUAGAGUUGUGCUGGUCAGGAUGAGACAGAGAUGUUGCUGUUAAUGGACCAGGAAGAAUUGAUAGAGGUAAUGGCAGUGUAAAUAUGAGGUGCUGUGAAGACUUAAGGCUGAACAGAGGAGCAAUGAUGUCUGCAAUGAAGUUUCUGAACUGGUGUUGGUUGUUAGUUGAGUUCAAGUAGUGUGUGGGAAUAACUGUGGUAGCAGAGAUGGAGGCAUGAAUGGAAUGGUGAUGCAGGUAGUAUGGUUUUGAUAAGAAUUACAUAUAUGAACUGAAUUCGUUAAGAUGGGAUUGAUUAUGAAGAUGUGUUGUUGGCAAUGAGAUGUUGAGAAUGUUGUUUGUUUGUGUACUGAAGUUGCAGGGGAUAUAAGUGAUGUGGAGGUGUUGUAUUGCAACUGGGGUGGUGCUGUUGUGUUUUGACUGCCAGUUGAAGUGAAUGAGGUAUACAUGUUGUGCAAGAAGAGACAGAGGUGAGAUGGCUUAUGCAAUUUGAUUUGGUUGUUAGCUGUUGAGAUUAUGUGAUGUAAAGGAAAUUGGGAUUGAACUAAUGAAUGUGAAUUAUGAGUUGUUUGCCUGUAAGAUAGUGGUUGUACUGGAGGUAAUGAGAUGGAUGUUAUUGAGAAGUUAAAGAGCUUCAGUUGCAAAUUAGUGGUGGUGGUGGUUUGAGGCAGUGGUGUGUAUGUAUCUUCUAAAUUCUAAUUUUAUGAUUUGACCUGGAUAUGAGAUGUAUGAGACAAACCCAUGGGUAGUAAAUAUUACAAGUGCUGGUGGUGAUGUUGCCUAGGUGGUUGUUUUGGGUUGAGUCUGAUGAAUUAGAAUUACAAAGAUGUGAUGUUGGAAGUGUUGUUGGUGAUUAGAGAGUAGCAGGUGUUGAAUUGAACUGAUGUAAGAAGAAUGAGAUAGUGAAGUUGUAGAAAGAAUGUUGCAGCUACUGCUAAACUGCAGUUACUCUUUAUUAACAACGAUCGAUCCAAAGGAUGAACCAGUGGAUUAUGAAUCUCAAGGUAUGCGAGGCUUGUCAUCAAAAGAGGUGGGAAUCGAUAACGAACUUUCUGUAUUCAUUAUUGUUUUACAAAUUAUUCUUGGUGUUGUGAAAUUCAUGCAUAUACUUGUGUGCUCUAUGUGGUAUGAGAUGUGGGCCGACACAAUAUCAGUAUUCUAUGGCUAGGGCGAUACACCGCAAUAUUAUUACGGAUAGGGUGUAGGGCGAUGCAUCCAAUAUUACUCUUCCCUAUAUAUAUCCAGUAUUCUAUGGCUAGAGCGAUACACUGCAAUAUUACUUAAUCGGAGUGGAAGCGGGCUUCAAUAUUAUUCUUCCCUUAGUGCGGCAACACACAUCUCAUACAUGAUUGUUUACUGUUAUUUAUGAACUUCUAUGAAGAAGUUUUUAUAACGUAUUUUACUAUCUUUCGGAGUUUUAUUGCCUUUAAAUAUAACCUGCAUCGUUUUCCGUUCAUAUUAAUGUCUGUAUGGAAGCUAGUUGUUAUUCCUACUGUGCACGGUUGUUGUGCUCACCCCUUUCCCACUUUCAGUUUGAGAGACAUACCAGAAUUGCGCAGCGAAAGCUCAGGAAGUUAACUACGUUAUUUAGAUUGCUUCCACUAUGUUUAUUUUGUGUUUAUAUUUUAUUUGUAAAUCAAAUGACUAUUCUAUAUGUAUCAUUUGAGAGGAGAUUUUAUAUACAUAUAUGUAUAUUCCAGAGCGGGGUUAGUUUUGUGUUAAGUUUUUGUAGCAUAUUUCGUAAUUGAAUAUUUUAGUAUUUGAUUUAGAUU